rnacentral:rRNA from 1 species
UACGAGGAGGGCUAGCGUUGCUCGGAAUGACUGGGCGUAAAGCGCACGUAGGCGGCUUUGCAAGUCAGAGGUGAAAGCCCGGGGCUCAACCCCGGAAUUGCCUUUGAGACUGCAUCGCUAGAAUUGUGGAGAGGUAAGUGGAAUUCCGAGUGUAGAGGUGAAAUUCGUAGAUAUUCGGAAGAACACCAGUGGCGAAGGCGACUUACUGGACACAUAUUGACGCUGAGGUGCGAAAGCGUGGGGAGCAAACAGG